CAGCAGCCGCGGUAAUACGGAGGGUGCAAGCGUUAAUCGGAAUUACUGGGCGUAAAGCGCACGCAGGCGGUCUUUCAAGUCAGAUGUGAAAUCCCCGGGCUUAACCUGGGAACUGCAUUUGAAACUGGCAAGCUAGAGUCUUGUAGAGGGGGGUAGAAUUCCAGGUGUAGCGGUGAAAUGCGUAGAGAUCUGGAGGAAUACCGGUGGCGAAGGCGGUCCCCUGGACAAAGACUGACGCUCAGGUGCGAAAGCGUGGGGAGCAAACAGGAUUAGAUACCCGUGUAGUCCCUGUCUCUUAUAC
rnacentral:rRNA from 1 species